UCCUCCAUGUUAUCCAAUUGUUUCUUCUGGCGUGAAGCCUCCAUUUCCAGCUUCUCUCUCUCUUUCUGCAAGCUAAUAGCUGUCUCCCUCUCGUUUCUCAAAUCUCUAUCAAUCUUCUGAAUGUCCAACUCUGCCAAGUCCACAAUUAGCCUCACAUUAUGCUGAAGUUCUGCCAUUGGAAUAUCAUUUUCCCUUGCCUUCUGCUCUGCAUUCAGAUUCUCCAAAUUUGUUAGCACUCUCACUUGAGGUCCCCGCAUGUCAAGCACCUUCUGUACAACCUCAAAACCCUGUUCUUCCUUCUUUGCCAACAACUCCUCUGCUGUUAUAUACUCCUCUUUCUUCUUCUUCCUCCCCUUCAUCCAGAGCCUCUCCUUUGCUCUCCCUACAGCGUGACUCUGGCUCUGGUUCUCAAUCGCACUAUUAAUCUCCUCCAGCUGAGGCAACUUAGAGGACGCUUCUUUAAAAUCAUUGAAACCCAUUCCCAUAUUUUUAGGCCUCAUCUUUGCUUCAAUUGGAGCCACAAUCCCUUGCUCGUUCUUCCCCAGUCCACCUCCCUUAUACCCCAUUUUCUCCAACAAUCUCAUCCCAAUUCCUUUUGUAUGCUUCUCAAACUCCCCAACAUCCCCAGUUCUCACUUCUCUCUUUUUCCCUCCUCCCUUUUCUUUCUUUUCCAAUCUCUUCCGCUCCCUCCUUUGUGCUCCCUCUUUUAUCCUCCUCCCAAACUCAGUAGGCAAAAAAUUAUCCUCAUCCUCACUACCAACCUCAUUCUCAAACCCCUCACUCUUUUCAACCCCAUUAUUACUACCAUUAAACCCUAAUCCGGAACUAAACCCCAGCCCCGACCCUGAACCUGACCCCAAACCUGGCCUGUCAUUAUCAUCGGCAAACAUAUCAUCAACAUUCUCUUCUUUGGCAUUCUUAUCAAUUUCUUGGUUAGGCAUCACGGUACCUGUAGAGACGAAAUUGACGGGCUUAGAAAGGUCAGGCUUCCGGCCAAAAUCACGGUCUUUUCUCCGUUUACGCGAGGAAGAUGAGCCGUAGCCAAAUUCGUCAUCUGAAUCGGAAUAGUCGGCGAAAACCCCAUAGAGAACAUCAUCCUUGGUUUGCUUGCGCUUCUCUUUGCGACUCCGAUAGAAGAACUCGCCGUUUAUCCAUUGGCCGUCCUCGAAGUCGUUCUCCGUGCCAAAUCUCUCCAUCUCCUGGUAAUCGUCCAUCUUGAAUUUAAUCUCUAGCUCCCUGUUGCCUACUCUUUACUCCUCCAAUCUGGAAAAUAAAAAAUGAAUAAACGAAACCAGUAAAACCCUAGAAUCUAGUGCGCAGUUGAUUUUUAGAUAUCAGGGAAAGCCAAGGAGUGCACGGGUGAUAGUUCUAACGGAAAAUUGCUUCGCUAAAUACAUAAUUGCAU
rnacentral:misc_RNA from 1 species